UACGGAGGGUGCAAGCGUUAUCCGGAUUCACUGGGUUUAAAGGGUGCGUAGGUGGGUUGGUAAGUCAGUGGUGAAAUCUCCGUGCUUAACAUGGAACUGCCAUUGAUACUACUGAUCUUGAAUUUUCAGGAGGUAAGCGGAAUAUGUCAUGUAGCGGUGAAAUGCUUAGAUAUGACAUAGAACACCAAUGCGAAGGCAGCUUACUACAGGAAUAUUGACACUGAUGCACGAAAGCGUGGGGAUCAAACAGG
rnacentral:rRNA from 1 species